rnacentral:rRNA from 1 species
UACGUAGGGAGCAAGCGUUAUCCGGAUUUACUGGGUGUAAAGGGCGUGUAGGCGGGCCUGUAAGUUGGGAGUGAAAUCCGGGGGCUUAACCCCCGAACUGCUUUCAAAACUGCGGGUCUUGAGUGAUGGAGAGGCAGGCGGAAUUCCCAGUGUAGCGGUGAAAUGCGUAGAUAUUGGGAGGAACACCAGUGGCGAAGGCGGCCUGCUGGACAUUAACUGACGCUGAGGCGCGAAAGCGUGGGGAGCAAACGGG